rnacentral:rRNA from 1 species
AGAGUUUGAUCCUGGCUCAGAACGAACGCUGGCGGCAUGCCUAACACAUGCAAGUCGAACGAGACCUUCGGGUCUAGUGGCGCACGGGUGCGUAACGCGUGGGAAUCUGCCCUUGGGUUCGGGAUAACAGUUGGAAACGACUGCUAAUACCGGAUGAUGUCUUCGGACCAAAGAUUUAUCGCCCAGGGAUGAGCCCGCGUAGGAUUAGCUUGUUGGUGAGGUAAGAGCUCACCAAGGCGACGAUCCUUAGCUGGUCUGAGAGGAUGAUCAGCCACACUGGGACUGAGACACGGCCAGACUCCUACGGGAGGCAGCAGUGGGGAAUAUUGGACAAUGGGCGAAAGCCUGAUCCAGCAAUGCCGCGUGAGUGAUGAAGGCCUUAGGGUUGUAAAGCUCUUUUACCCGGGAUGAUAAUGACAGUACCGGGAGAAUAAGCCCCGGCUAACUCCGUGCCAGCAGCCGCGGUAAUACGGAGGGGGCUAGCGUUGUUCGGAAUUACUGGGCGUAAAGCGCGCGUAGGCGGCUUUGUAAGUUAGAGGUGAAAGCCCGGAGCUCAACUCCGGAAUUGCCUUUAAGACUGCAUCGCUAGAAUCAUGGAGAGGUUAGUGGAAUUCCGAGUGUAGAGGUGAAAUUCGUAGAUAUUCGGAAGAACACCAGUGGCGAAGGCGACUAACUGGACAUGUAUUGACGCUGAGGUGCGAAAGCGUGGGAGCAAAC